GACGAACGCUGGCGGCGUGCUUAACACAUGCAAGUCGAACGGUAAGGCCCCAGCUUGCUGGGGUACACGAGUGGCGAACGGGUGAGUAACACGUGGGUGACCUGCCCCGCACUUCGGGAUAAGCCUGGGAAACUGGGUCUAAUACCGGAUAGGACCGCACCGUGAGGGUGUGGUGGAAAGUUUUUCGGUGUGGGAUGGGCCCGCGGCCUAUCAGCUUGUUGGUGGGGUAAUGGCCUACCAAGGCGGCGACGGGUAGCCGGCCUGAGAGGGUGGACGGCCACAUUGGGACUGAGACACGGCCCAGACUCCUACGGGAGGCAGCAGUGGGGAAUAUUGCACAAUGGGCGGAAGCCUGAUGCAGCGACGCCGCGUGGGGGAUGACGGCCUUCGGGUUGUAAACUCCUUUCACCAUCGACGAAGGUUUUCUGACGGUAGAUGGAGAAGAAACACCGGCUAACUACGU
rnacentral:rRNA from 1 species